ACACCCUGACAAACCCGGCCCCCACGCGCAGCCCAAGCCGGCUCCGCGCAGCCGGGAGCUCGCCGGCCGCCGGGCCUCGGCCCCCGGCCGCCAAGGAGAGCGGAGCGGAGCCCGCGCCGCCGGCCGGUCGCCCCGCUCCGGGGGACACUUUAAGGGAAAAACCCCAGCACCCAAUCCCCACGCUUGCACCCCGAGAGUCCCCGGGGAGCGGGAGGUAGCCCCGGAGCCAGCGGGCGCCUGGCUCUGGCCCCAAACUUACCGGGCGCUGCGAGCGCCGCUGCCGCCGCUGGAGGACGCGCCGCCGCCACCGCCGGGUAGGGCAGGCUCGGGCCGGGAGGAGCGCAGCGAGGGCGCCGAGAUCCGCUCGGCUCCGGCUCCUGCUCCGCGCCGGCUGGGGCUGGGGUCACCGCGCUGCGCCGGCGUUGCUCGCUCGCUCGGCCGCCCGAUCGCUGCUCGCCCGCCUGCCGCCCGGCCGCCCGCUCUCCCCGGCGCCCGCCGCCGCCGCUCGCUUUUUUAAUGUCCACAGACAGUGAAAAGGAACUCGGCGUUAGGGGGCUGCCACCGUGUCGGAGGCGAGGCGAGGAAGGGAGCUGGAAUAACAAAGGGAGGUAAUGGGGUAGAUUGGAUACCUCUGGGGUCUUGGAAGAAGCUAUGACUUAUUUACUGUCUACUAUGUGGGAGCUCAGGAGGGGGAAUUGCACUGAAGAUUUGUCCCAUCGUGAAGCAAGAGCACUGGAACUUACACUCCACCAUCAGGCCCUGUCACAGGAGAACAAAGAAGGAAGGCAGAGGAGAUCAUGCUCCGGCCAGCAGGGAAUCUCCAUUUUUUUCAGCCUCAUACCUUGGAAAGUACAAAGGAGUGAGAGCUGGGACUACCAGCCAGAGGGUUCAUGGAGGUAGUGGGAGGGGAAGAUGGGUUCUGCAUGGAGCCACUCCAGGGACUUUUCUUCUGUCUCACAGCCUGACAAUCACCUCUAGCUGUUCUCAGUCCCAUUCUCAUCAAUGACCUCGUCUCCUGAUUUUGUACAAUAUCUAGGUGACCUUCUCUUCUUUCCAUCUUCAAACGCUUGAUCAUUGAUGCUCCCUUUUCUCUUCUCUCUCCUCCUGGGAAAAGAGAAGGACCAACAUCCCCCUUUCCCUUCCUCCUGUGCUGUCCCGACCCCUCUGAGACCUGGCUCUAGCAGUAAGUCCCUCUCUCUUCUGCAGCACCAGCCUCUGCCCAUCCCUGCCCUCUGCACACAAAGCUCUCACAUUGUCUGCACUUUAAGAACUUUUGUGGCAAACCCUGGCAAAUCCUGCCACUUGUUUCCACUCUUCUCAAAUGGCUUUGAGGUCAUCAUUGACCUAUCCCAUUUGACCCUGUCCUGUAUCUGAUGUUGUACCCUUUCUCCUUGAUCCCACUCUGGCAACUCUCCCACUCCCCUUUCUUGGAUCAACUGUCUUGCUCCUCAGUCUUGAUCAAUGCCUCCUUCUCUCUCUUUAGCCUUGGCCCUUUUUGGCCAGGGAAAUAAAUGUGAAAUACAUAAAGCUUCAUUUUAUCUUAUGAUUAUAGCUAUGUUGAUGUUACCCAAGACCUAAAAGUCACACUCUCUAAUUACACUUCCCUCCUGUGUUCUGGGUCCUCUUGGACCAGUCCUUACUCUGGCUCCCCUCCUGGAUGUCUCCCAGACUUCUAAUUAGAAUUACUGUUUCCUAUAUCAAGCUAAUUAUCUUUCCCACCAACCUCCUCCAUCCUUGGGUGAAAGCAUCACUUGGUUGCAAAAGUCAGAAAUCUGGGUUUCAUUCUUGCGGUAGGUAGAAUAAUGCCCCCAGGCCCCAGGUUUUGACAUCCGAAUCCCUGGGACUUUGCAGAUGUGAUUCAGUUUAGGAUUUUGAGAUGGGGAGAUUAUCUGGGAGAGCCUGAUGUCAUCAUAAGGUUCUUAUAAGAGGGAGGCAGGAGGGUUAGAGUGAGUAGUAAGAGAUGCAACAGUGGAAGCAAGAGGUUGGGGUGAUGUGGCCACAAGCCCAGGAGUGCUGACAGACAUCAGAAGCUGGAAGGGACAAGGAAUGGUUUCUCCUCUGGAGCCUCCAGAAAGAACCAGCCCUGCUGACACCUUGAUUUUAGCCUUGGAAGACUCAUUUUGGACUUCUGACCUUGAACGUUGUAAGAGAAUAAAUUUACAUAUUUUAAACUGGUA
rnacentral:lncRNA from 10 species